rnacentral:rRNA from 1 species
GAUCCUGGCUCAGGAUGAACGCUAGCUACAGGCUUAACACAUGCAAGUCGAGCGGAACUGCUUCGGCAGUUAGCGGCAGACGGGUGAGUAACACGUAUCCAACCUUCCCCUUACUCGGGUAUAGCCUCGGGAAACUGAGAGUAAUCCCCGAUGUGGUGUACGCUUCGCAUGUAAUGCACACCAAAGAUUAAUCGGUAAGGGAUGGGGAUGCGUUCCAUUAGCUAGUAGGCGGGGUAACGGCCCACCUAGGCGAUGAUGGAUAGGGGUUCUGAGAGGAAGGUCCCCCACAUUGGAACUGCGACACGGUCCAAACUCCUACGGGAGGCAGCAGUGAGGAAUAUUGGUCAAUGGCCGAGAGGCUGAACCAGCCAAGUAGCGUGCAGGAAUGACGGCCCUACGGGUUGUAAACUGCUUUUGUGCGGGAAUAACGGUCGACACGUGUGUUGAUGUGCAUGUACCGUACGAAUAAGGAUCGGCUAACUCCGUGCCAGCAGCCGC